UACGUAGGGGGCUAGCGUUAUCCGGAAUCAUUGGGCGUAAAGCGUACCGAUAGGUGGUUUUACAAGUCAGAAGUGAAAUCUCUCAGCUUAACUGGGAGUCUGUCUUUUGAAACUGUAAAACUAGAGGGGCAAAGAGGAAGCUGGAACGAACGGUGUAGUAGUGAAAUGCGUUGAUAUCGUUCGGAACACCAAUAGCGUAGGCAAGCUUCUGGGUGCCACCUGACACUGCUAGGACGAAAGCGUGGGGAGCGAAUGGG
rnacentral:rRNA from 1 species